rnacentral:lncRNA from 1 species
AAAUAACUUUUAGAUUUUCCUCUGUAAUUUUCGGCAUUGGGCCUUGAGGAUUUCACUUCAUUUUCCAUUGUCCAAAUCUCCAUUUACACGAAAAAUGGACUCCAAAAUAAGCCCACACUAAAUUACCAAACCUAUCCACUGCUACUACACCCUCGCCGUAGCUCUCUCCGGCGAAUACAUCGCGCUCACCUCGCCGUUGAUCUCUCCGGCGAAGAUUUUGCCUAGUGAGUUCCUCCGUUUCUUCCCUCUUUCACUAUAUACCUCUCUCCAUUUCCUUCUUUUUUUAACUCCUGGUUUAAAAACCCUAAACCCUUUUUACUUCUUGCUGCCAUCCAUCGUAGCACUAGCUGAAGGCCCUUCUUACCGGAGUUCCGAGUACUGUGUUGCUGGUUCCUUCACGUUUCUGUAACUGGUACACCAGCUAUUUUUUUUCCUGUUUAUCUCUUAUAUUUGUGUAGCACUAUAUUCAAAGAAUUUAGGUCGGCAUAGCUUUUUAAUUCAAAUUUUAGUUUGUCAUUGUUAUGCGAUAUGAUUGAUUCCAGGGUUUCUUUCAGGAUUUUCUUUAAGUGGUUCUCAGUUUCUUUAUGGGAAGUUCAUAUUAAAAAUUAGAAAUUUAUAUUGAAAAUCCGUGUCUUCUCAUUAAUAUUAUCCAGAGAUUGCAUUACAGUACAGUAUGUGUGUUGUUGAAAUGAUUUUUUUGGGUGCUUUCUUAAUUCUUGGAGCUCCCUCAAUUAGAUAUGGAAUGCAAGCUCUCUUGUUAGGUUUUUUGCAUAUUGAGAUUUGAGCCAGUUGGUGUUUGAAGAAAAUCAAAGGUUAUUGUGUUUGCACGUGUGCCCAUGAAUGUAAUUAUUGAUUAUUUUUGAUAGAUUUACCUGUUUGUGUUUAGGUGGUUGUUAACUUCUUCAAAUAUGUAUUGAAUAUCUAUAUCAGAUACUUGGUCCGAUUAUUAUUGUAUAUUAACUCGAGGCCAUUGUCCUAGAACUCUGAAUUUUGAAUCCAUAAAUUUGAAAUCUUGGAUCCGCAACUAUGAUGGCGAGUGGUGAUCCUCAUCAGCACCAGCACCAGCACCCACCGCUGCCACAGCAACAAUUCCAGCAACAACACCAGCAACAACCCCAGCAACAACACCAGCAACAACACCAGCAACAACACCAGCAACAACACCAGCAACAACACCAGCAACAACACCAGCAACAACACCAGCAACAACACCAGCAACAACACCAGCAACAACACCAGCAACAACACCAGC